rnacentral:rRNA from 1 species
AGGACGAACGCUGGCGGCGUGCUUAACACAUGCAAGUCGAGCGGUAAGGCCUUUCGGGGUACACGAGCGGCGAACGGGUGAGUAACACGUGGGUGAUCUGCCCUGCACUCUGGGAUAAGCCUGGGAAACUGGGUCUAAUACCGGAUAUGACCUGCUCUCGCAUGGGGGUGGGUGGAAAGAUUUAUCGGUGCAGGAUGGGGCCCGCGGCCUAUCAGCUUGUUGGUGGGGUAAUGGCCUACCAAGGCGACGACGGGUAGCCGACCUGAGAGGGUGACCGGCCACACUGGGACUGAGACACGGCCCAGACUCCUACGGGAGGCAGCGAGUGGGGAAUAUUGCACAAUGGGCGAAAGCCUGAUGCAGCGACGCCGCGUGAGGAUGAAGGCCUUCGGGUUGUAAACCUCUUUACGAGCAGGACGAAGCGCAAGUGACGGUACCUGCAAGAAGAAGCACCGGCUAACUACGUGCCAGACAGCCGCGGUAAUCGUGAGCGGCGUGGACCG